GACGAACGCUGGCGGCGUGCUUAACACAUGCAAGUCGAACGAUGAACCUCGAAAUGACAUCUUCGGAAGGAUUUUUGAGAGGAUUAGUGGCGAACGGGUGAGUAACGCGUGAGCAACCUGCCUUAGACAAGGGGAUAGCCUCGGGAAACCGUGAUUAAUACCCUAUGAGACUCCACUUACGAGUGUAAGAGAAGUUAAAGCUAUUGCGGUCUAAGAUGGGCUCGCGUCUGAUUAGCUAGUUGGUGAGAUAAAAGCCCACCAAGGCGACGAUCAGUAACCGGCUUGAGAGAGUGAACGGUCACAUUGGAACUGAGACACGGGCCAAAAUCCUACGGGAGGCAGCAGGGGGGAAUAUUGCACAAUGGGGGGGGAACCCUGAUGCAGCGACGCCGCGUGAGCGAUGAAGGAAUUCGUUUCGUAAAGCUCUGUCCUUGGAGAAGAUAAUGACGGUAACCAAGGAGGAAGCACCGGCUAAAUACGUG
rnacentral:rRNA from 1 species